CUCUAAUCCAUGGACCUAACUAUGCUGUCCUUUCUUUAAUAGGUCCAUGGCUCUAAUCCAUGGACCUAUUAAAGAAAGGACAGCGGAUUCAAAAAUGGCAUCUUGGGAGCCAGCCACGCCCUAGUGCAUGCAUGCCGGAUGCAGAAAUAUUUCGACCCGUGAUGCCAAAAUGGCCGGCGACCAGAUCACCGCGGAGAGGAAGAGCAAAACGGCCCGAACGCUGAACCACGUGGCUCUGGGAAUCGGAAUAGCCCUCAUCGUCCUGUACACCAUCACUAGAUUAGUCUAAUUGGACUAUCUCGGUUUAGUCUCGGUUUAGAGAAUAUCUAGCAUGAACAUCUAUCUUUCACUCAUACCAUACUCGCUAAUCAGCCCCAAUCUAAGUUUGUUGAUCUUUUGAUCCAAUCAAGUAAUUUUGUUUUAAGGUUUAAGAUUGCGCAGUUGGUGUAGGCCCAUUGGUAUUUUACUCAACAUUUACGUCUUUAAAUAUGUAGCGUUGUUAGCAUAUGCUUAGGCCUUAGACGUUUUAUACUGCAGCACUUUUCGAAGAAAUAUAUUAAGUUGAUUAUAAAGUUUCGGAAUUUCGAAACCAACAAAGGAAAAUAAUUUAAAGUUUAAACGAUAUGUGCAUAUUUAUCAAUUUUCCAACUACAACGUCCAUUACUGAUGUCAAUCCUCCAGUAAAAUUUUGAUCAUAUGAAAGAAUUUUUUUUUUUUCUGCUCUGUCUUUGCACGAAGAACACGUGGCCAGCCAAAAGUUGUGCAAAAAUAAAUUCAGCGUUGUCUCACUGCUGCAAAGCAUUUAUGCUUUCCUCCAUAUUUACUAUAUUCUGUAUUUCACUACGAAAUCCUCACAUUUUAUACCCUUUAAACAUACACAUCUUAGCAGGUUUUUACAUUGUGAAACGUUGUAUGAUGUAUAAAUGUUCAUAGGCCUACAUCAUUUGUGAUACAUGUAUCACAUUUAUGCAUGAAUAAAGUUACAAACAUUUGAGUUUAAUACAUGUGGUCUUUGCACUCAUUUAUUUGUUAUAAUAAUUUGCAGAGAAAUCGAAUAAAAAAAGAAACACAC
ensembl:lncRNA